GAUGAAGAACGUAGCGAAAUGCGAUAAGUCAUGUGAAUUGCAGAAUUCAGUGAAUCAUCGAAUCUUUGAACGCACCUUGCACUCCUUGGUAUUCCGAGGAGUACGCCUGUUCGACUGUUAUGAAGCUCUCAAAACGCAAUUGGCUUAAAACCUGAUUGUUGUUUUGGAUUUGAACUUUGCCGUGUUAUAACGGCUGGUUUUAAAAGUAUUAGCUGGUACUAGAACGAAUUGGUUCUACUCAACGUGAUAAUUAUCUGAUCGUUGAGGACAUUCCUUUCACGAGGAAUGGCCAUAGUAAAUUCAAUGGACUGCUUCUAAUCUGGCUUUAAUUCUUUAUUGGAUUAACCACUUUUCAAAUCUGACCUCGAAUCAGGUGGGACUACCCGCUGAACUUAAGCAUAUCAAUAAGCGGAGGA
rnacentral:misc_RNA from 1 species